rnacentral:misc_RNA from 1 species
AGAUCAUGAGUAACAACAUCAUACAAAUCAUACAUAGCUUUGGCAGCACCCUUUGAAAGUUCGGGAGUUUCAUUGCGAAUCAAAAGUCCAGUCAAAGCUGUAAAUCUUGAUAACACUACUGGAAGUUUCUUCAGAGACAAGGUCAUGACAAGUGAACCCUCCAUUAUGCUAUUGUUGAUUUCUCGAUAUAUUCUUUCAACCCAAAGUCUUCCCUCUCCAUCAUUCAGAGAGUAUAAGAUUUUCUCGAUACUGUAAUAGCACUCCUGAACAGCAUAGGCCAUGUACUCAUCCUUGCAUAUUCUGGUCCACAAAUCUCUCUGUGUAUCUUUGCAAUCCAAAGCCAAAUCAAUAGCCAGCAAUAUCUUACUGCAGAGAAGAAACAGAGGCCAUUGUACAAGUCGUAGACUUCCUGUGUUGCUAGGCAUUGAAAGCAAAUCCAUCUCCCUGUUACUGACGUAAUCCUCUUCACGCAAACUUUUAAUAAUCUCAUUCCAAAAUGGUGAAAAGAGAGCUGCAUAUGCUUUGUUGUUCUCUGGAGAAGUCUCUGAUAACUGUCUGUCAAUAGGUAUCCUUUUUGUCUGAGGUGACACAAGGUUCUUCACAAAGGCUUCAGGAAAGCUCUCAAAACGUUUAUGCACCAUCUCAAUUGAGCGUAUCUCCCCUAAGCGAGCCCGCGCUCCCAUUACACCACCAACAAUUGCAGAUAAUAAAGUGUACCAUAUGUGAAUAUCCAUGAGAUAAAUAGCUACAACAGGAGCCCACAGGCUAACAAUUGUCAAAAUAUUAUUGUUGUUCUUUGAUAUAAAAUCAUGCCAGGAGUACUGCAGGGAAGGCAUUUGGUAUAUGAGCUUAGAAGGUCCAACCAGCGGUUUGAUCUGAAGAAAGUAAGCAAAGGUGAACUUGCAAGCAAAUAUCACCAACCAAUAGAGAGAAUAUCGUAAAUAAUCAGUUGUUUUCUCAACAAGACCACGGCCAACAAAGUAUCUCUCCUGAUAGAUCCACUUAAAAAAUUGAAAAAAAGAUUGAUCAGACAUUUCUGAUAGUUUGUGACAGGCAGGUAGCUUUGUCAGGAGCGCAAAAACUACUCGUAUGCCAGCAUAAACACCCAGAACCAGGAUAUAAAGGCGGAAAUAAAAAGGGUCUUUGUUUGUAUUCCUUUCUUGUAGAAGCUUCAGAUAGACAUAUAUUACAAAUGCUGAGCUCACAGCGGUCCAGAUAAACCUGAUAACAAUCCUUGAUAUAGCCAUGCCUCUUGCAGUACUGUAGGCCCCAAACAUGAGAAUUACAUCCAAGAAACUCUCUAUGAAAUUCAUAACAGCAAAUGUAGGGCCAACACUAAGCAGUUUCUUAAAAGUGUCCAGAUUGAUUUUCGCAUUGCUGAAGGCUAUGAUUGUUAAUGCCUGGAACAUGACAACCAAAAAGAUCCACAAACGAUGAAAACUUCGGUACAGGUGAAGGAAAGUCCGAUGCUCAACAAACGUGCUUUUUCCAGUCCUUUUGCCUUUCUUAGCAGGCUUCCGCAAGAAUGAGGAUUCCUUAUUAAAAGGCCAACCCAACUCAAAGCAAGCAGGUGACCAGAAAUAUUCAUUAAAAUCAUCAUAAUUCCGCCACUUUGAGUGUGCAGCUUUUCCAUUAUUGUUUCUUGCAGCUUCCGAUACUAUUGUAUCAUAUAUCGGACGAAUAAUUUUUUCCAAAAAAGACACAGACUGAUCCUCGCCCAAACAACAGGGGGCUGGCCUGGCUUCUCCAUGAUCCAAAAUUGCAUCUAAUUCUCUAGCCAUAUGGUGGAAUAUAUAGCAGAUGCAUUCAGGAAGGAAACGGACAUUUGCAGCUUCACCCCAUAUGCAGAAGUAGAGUGAAACAAGAAAAAGCUUUCUGUCCCUGUUAAUGGCUUCUAAUUUAUUCCACACAAGCCGAAUGCGUAAGUAUCUACACCACUUGAUGUAAUUAUCCAAGACCUUCAGAAACACCUCUGUGAUAACCUUCUCAUCUAUUUUUGGAUCUGCCCCAACAGGUAUCCCAAGUCGUGACUGGGCAUUUGCAACAAUGAGGAUGACAUUCUCGCGCUGGUUCCUUACAUUGUCUUUCUGAAAGCCAAAGGCAUAUUCUAAAAGAUCAAACAUAUCCAUAUGCCGCUGUCCAGGAAUAUCAAAACCAGCGGGUAGCUGAGGGAACUGCUCAGUGUACUUAACUGCUGAUAUGGCACCCUGAACCUCUGGAAAGAAACCAAUAGCAUUGGUCAAUGAUGCUGCCUCUAGAGGAACAAUAUUGUAUGGUGCAAGUUCCCCUGAUAAAGUAGCAUCAGAUUUCUUGAUCCUUCUCAACUCCUCCUUUAUAAGCCUUCCCACACCAUCAGGAGCUGCAUCUUUGCUCAGAUACUCCAUCACUUCAACCACAGCCCUCAAGGUAGCGAAUACCUUUCUCAUUUCAAAAAAUCUUAGUCCCAACUCUCCUAUAUUAGCACUAACUGCUCCAGAUUCACGCCAUUUUUGCUCCUCUCUUUGAAUAUCAUCCACUUUGUGCCGCCUUUUGUAUUGCUGAUAAAACUCCCAUAAGCGUUCGAUGUCACGAUUACGGUCUAUCCGAGUCCCUUCCUUUUUGGCAAGUUUUUGCUUAAUGACGGACAUUAAUCCAGUUUUAAAUUGAAGAACACCUCGACCAUCGCUGUUCGGAUCCAAAUUUUGUGCCAUUGAAUAUGCCUGCUCACAUAAAAUUCUGGCCACAUUGGGAUCUUCAUCCUGUAUCUCAUCAGCCGCUUGAAGAAUCGCAUUAAUGUUGGUAGUCCGCUGAAGCGAAUCGGGAACAGAACCUGCUAUACCACUAGGUGUCCUUCCGUGUCCGGGACCGGUCUGCCGGAGCUGCUCCCUCCGUAACGUAGCUCGUACAAGCCUAUCCCAAUUCUCGUAAACCCUCG